GACGAACGCUGGCGGCGUGCUUAACACAUGCAAGUCGAGCGGUAAGGCCCUUUCGGGGGUACACGAGCGGCGAACGGGUGAGUAACACGUGGGUGACCUGCCCUUAGCUCUGGGAUAAGCCUGGGAAACUGGGUCUAAUACCGGAUAUGACUCCAUAACGCAUGUUGUGGGGUGGAAAGCCUUGUGCGGCUAGGGAUGGGCCCGCGGCCUAUCAGCUUGUUGGUGGGGUGAUGGCCACCAAGGCGACGACGGGUAGCCGGCCUGAGAGGGCGACCGGCCACACUGGGGACUGAGACACGGCCCACGACUCCUACGGGAGGGCAGCAGUGGGGAAUCUUGCGCAAUGGGCGAAAGCCUGACGCAGCGACGCCGCGU
rnacentral:rRNA from 1 species